GUCUAUGGCCAUGCUACUCUGAACAAGCCCUAUCCCAUCUGAUCUCAAAAGCUAAGCAGGGGCGGGCCUGGUUAGUACUUGUAUGGGAGACUACCUAGGAAGACCACGUGCUAUAGACC
rnacentral:rRNA from 1 species